CAAAAUUGAAAGAACCCAAAUUUGAGGACUUGCCUCAUCACGUUUCUUUCUCUUCUCCUCUUCAUCGUUGAAGAUGAAAAUUACUUUUGCCGAUCAAAACAGAAAACCAGUGCACCUCCAACCAUAUCCUGCAUCUUCCCAGACCCAUUUUUACCUUUGGUUCCUAGCCCCACGAAAGAACCUUUGUGGUCUUUCUCUUCAUGCAGGACGAGAUUAAUUCCGUCCCGGACUAAUUCUGAUCAGAACCUGCACCUCCGAUAUGCUCCGGUGAUCACUUCGCCAUCUAGCUCCGAGUAAAGAAUCUCCAUUGUUGGCUGAUAAAACUUGACCUCGGUGCUUCUCGAUGUAAUCCUGCAACUCCACUGGCGAUGAACUCUGUUUGUAUCUCUUCCUUUAAUAACAAAUUUUGCUUUGAUGUCAACCUCCAUAGCAAGUGACUCCACCUUGGGAUUAUGAGCUUGAGAGAGUUCGCGACUCUCCCUAAUGCCUGCCUUCCCGAUGGUUAAAAACACAACCUGAUAUGGUCCUUCACAUCCUCUGGAAAUACAUACACCCUGCAUACACCACAGUCCCCAUUGCCGUCACUACAAUCCUUGAAAAUUUAGCCAAUCUAGCUGCAAGUCUGAUCAAUAUGUCUUCACUUUCCAGUGAGACUUUCGUCCCUGAUCAAUUUUAAGAACUCUGGAGUUCUCGGUUUCGUCAAGCCGUACAUCCUUAACAUCCUUUGAUUCAUUCCCUUGAUAGUGAAGUUUUGAUGCAACCCUGCAUCCUCUGGCAUACUCCUCCGAUGCCAACCCUUUGUAAUCUCAGCUUCUCCGAUGAACAACCGCAUCUCCUCAGCUGUGCUGAUAACUCUAGCUUUUUAUACAAACAACAUACUUGUGUUCAUCUACUGCCGUUUCAUCUUCUCGCAACAUCUCCAGCUACUCCUCCUUUGCUGCUCAUGAUGAUCCAUGUUCUGUAACUUCAGACUUUAACUACUCCACCUUAAGCAAUUUCUUUUGCUUUUUCUGUAGCUACUCCACCUGAAGCCAAUAUCUCUUCACCCUAGCUUCAUAGUUGUCGCAGUUUGCAAGGCCAUCUUCACCAGUCUACAUCUAUGCGUUUAUUCACAGCAUAGAUCAGAGUCAAUAUUUUGUUCUGUAAUAAGUUUUUACUUGGUGGAAAUUGGGUCUAACGCGCACAUUUCGUGGGUGGUUGUGAACAAUAGUCCGUCUGCAGCAAAUAUGAGAAACUGAUCUUGUAUAAACGAUAAUCCAUCAUAGACGGUGCUUACUCAAGUGUCUGAAGCAAAUAUGAGAAUGUGAACUUGUACUACACAUUUGUCCUCCCACAGAAGAUUAAUAAUUCUCUAGAGAUUGAUCAAUAAGUCCAAAGUUUAAAUAUUUGAAUGGUUUUCUAACCACUAAAGCUAUACUAACCAUUCCAACAAUCAAACAAGGUGAUAACAACAAAAAGAAGUAAGGUAUUUACCUCUUCGUGAACCCAAACCAUAUUGGCCAAGAAAUUCUUGUGACUCUCUGGUACUACCUCCACCAGAGUUUCUCCAGGGACAAUAUUCCGAGAGACUUCAAACAAUAUUAGGUUCGUCAACACCAAGCAUUCAAACAAUAUUAGGUUUGUUGGUUUCUGGCAUAGUCUUUUUACGCCGAAAAGGGUUGUUAACGGAGAACACACUUGAAAAGCCGGAAUUUUCGCCAUCCUCAGCCACGUCACCAGAGAAGAGAGUGAUGAAGAUCC